GUUAAGUCAGAUGUGAAAGCCCGGGGCGUUAACCUCGGAAUUGCAUUUGAAACUAGGCAGGCUAGAGUCUUGUAGAGGGGGGUAGGAAGUUUCAGGUGUAGCGGUGAAAUAGCGUAGAGAUCUGAAGGAAUACCAGUGGCGAAGGCGGCCCCCUCGGACAAAGACUGACGCUCAGAUGCGAAAGCGUGGGGAGCAAACAGGAUUAGAUACCCUGGUAG
rnacentral:rRNA from 1 species